UUCAGGACCUGAGAAAAGCCCAGGACGUAGAAUUAAAAAUUUAGCUAUUUGACAAAAAAAGAAAAAGAAAAAAAGUAGUAGCUAUAAACAGUACUAGAAAUUUACUAAUUUGUGUGUUCACCUCGACAGAUUACCUAUAAUAGGUCAGCUCAGCUGUUAUGCGCAAUUUACGCAUCCAUUUAAGAACCACAUGAUCCAUCGGUCAAAACUGCGGUUUGCAGUGAAUCUGAUUCAGACUAGUAAUACAGUCUUAUGUUUGAUGUUUUAUUUAAUAUUAAGAGUUGUUGGUGCAGAAAUAAGGCCUAUUAAGCUUAGUAGGCUACUAAUAUUUGAUAGACAAUUUGAACUGCCAAAUGCCUUUUCUACCUUUUCUAAGGUGUGUGUUGUGGACUUCCUGCUCUCUGUCUUUCAAUCCAGCAACACCGGUGAGAAAAAAGUGGACUGCUUUUUCUCCUGAUCCACAGUGCCUGCUCUCGGCUUCCAGAGUGGUGCCCUGUUUCAGAGAUUUCCGCCUUUGACUCCAGAAGACAUUUCUGUCACAGCGUGGAGGCAAGUAAACUAUGUCAGAAGUCAUUACGGACCUUGAAAGCAGAUCUGUCCUUCAAGGUCGCCAUGGAGUAGGAUGGACAUUUUCACAGUGUGACUGAAGGUUGGCUGAUUCAGUGCAAUGAUUCAAAAACGGUGAUCACAACAGUGGAAAUCAAGUUUUGUAGAGUAUCCAUUUGCUUAAAUGCUAAAGAGCACUUUGAAAAGUCAACCUAAGAUGAAGUUGUUGCCACAAAGCGCAUGAUGUCCACUAACUGACCGCUCGCAAGUGGCAUCAAGCUCCAACAGGAUUACAUCUGAGCAUUAUUCCCGGGUUUUACAGAGACAAUUGGAACCUUAAACCCUUGUCAGAAGCACAAUGGGACACAGUUAUAGCCCUCUGUGAAAUGGUGGCCAAGAUGAAGUGUUGAUGUGACAGAAGUAGGCAGAGCGCAACGGCUGUAUCCCACUGAGGGAAAAUUAAAACUAUCAUUUACAUCUCACAAUCAUGACUUUGCCAAGUCUGGGGGGAAUUACCUCUUGGAUAAUGAUUAUUGCUGUAUCAAUGACAGCAAACAAGAGCAGCAAUUGAAUCCCAGGACUCCAAAAAGUGUUAUGUAAAUGCUAACAAAAACUAUAUCGCUCUACACUGAAAUGUCUGUUUCAGUUUCAUUUUAUUCUUUUUUUGUUGUCUCUUUCCUAUUAUUGUUUCUAGUCACUAAAGUGUUUUUUUUAGGUUUAUCAUUGUAAGUUUGUCUUUCUAUGCCUGAGAGUUUGUUCUUUGCAUUCAAAUGCUCAAUAAUGAUCUUGCGAGAUGCUUUCUUACCAGCCUAGCUUAUGUGUUUUUUGUGACGCCCAAGCAUUAAUAUGCUGAGGUUGGCAUCUGUUGGUAUGGUAGCUUGUUUAAACAGAGUUAAAAUGGUUGUCGCUUAAGAUAAGGGGUUUAGAAAAAGGCCUGGGUCGAGUUAUUCCUUUAGUAGUUUUUCUUCACAUUCUGACCAGCGCUCUCUUGCCGUCUUUUUGAACUAGAACCCAAUGGGUUGUUGCGAGUGAAACCGGCGGAGGUCAGGCCUCAUAAAUGCUUAACUACCCCGAAAGGGAAACUGCUUUGGCAAGUUGGGCUUGUGUUUAUGUCCAUGCGCAUAGGGUUUCCUUAAGAUUUUUUACUCUGCCCAGAGGGGGCACUUAAAACUGAGGCCUCGGGUGACACGGAUAAGUAGAAAGUAUCUUGACCUUUUAUUUGACUUAACAAGAGCUUGACCUGACCCAAUCAGUUUAGGCUAACAUCAUGGCCCCAAUCCUAAAGCCAUUUGACUUCCCCACAGAAAAAUCUUGCCUGCUUUAGCUCAACUGUCGCACUCAUGUUUUCCAACAAUUAUAAGGGUAAGUCACCCAUGAACUGUUGAGCAUCCCAGCUGAGAGACUAAACCCACCACAGAGCCAUGAACCUAUUAAUGCAGCCUGUCCCUUUCUCAGACAUUUAUAUACAAAUUGAUACACAUUAUUUUGAAUGCAUAGAUACAAAAUGGUAAGUUCACAGAGUGUAGUGUGCAGAUGAAGAAGUGCAUAUCAGGACUUACAGGACAGUAAAAAAACAUAUUGUAUUUUAUUGAAAAUUACCCAAAUGCAUACCCUAAUCUGAAACUCAAUUACAACAUCAUUUAAAGCAAAAUAACCAAAUGUAUGACUCUCUUGGGGACAUUAUUUAGCCAAUCUACUGCUUGUUAUCUGGCUAAUUUUAAUAGCAACAAAGCACAAAGGGAAAACGAAAAAGUGGAUAUUAAACAAUUAAAUAGUCAGCAAUGGAAAUGAACACAGUAUGUUACAACAUUCAUUUGGCUUUCAUUUAAUAGAAUACACGUUUUUUGUUGUAAAAAUGUAUGCUUUUAUGAGACGAUAUGAAUUUGUAUAUAUGAAUAUAAAAUUGUUUAUCAAA